AUGUCACUGAAACAUUUUUUCAAAGGGUUUGGAGCAGCAUACAGUAUGGAUGAUUUUGAAGCAAGGUUUGGACUGAUAUGCAGAGUAGGUCUUUUGGCUAUUGUUUUGACAUUUUGUGGGAUCUAUUUUGAAGCAAUUAUGUUUGGAUGUGAAGCAUGGCAAAGUGGAAAAAGCAGCAAGGAAAAGCUACAAGCUCAAAACCUGGUUUCAUAUAGCUUUAGGAGUUAG